GACGAACGCUGGCGGCGUGCUUAACACAUGCAAGUCGAACGGAAAGGCCCUGCUUUUGUGGGGUGCUCGAGUGGCGAACGGGUGAGUAACACGUGAGUAACCUGCCCUUGACUUUGGGAUAACUUCAGGAAACUGGGGCUAAUACCGGAUAGGAUCUCCUGCUGCAUGGUGGGGGUUGGAAAGUUUCGGCGGUUGGGGAUGGACUCGCGGCUUAUCAGCUUGUUGGUGGGGUAGUGACUUACCAAGGCUUUGACGGGUAGCCGGCCUGAGAGGGUGACCGGCCACAUUGGGACUGAGAUACGGACCAGACUACUACGGGAGGCAGCAGUGGGGAAUAUUGCACAAUGGGCGGAAGCCUGAUGCAGCAACGCCGCGUGCGGGAUGACGGCCUUCGGGUUGUAAACCGCUUUAGCCUGUGACGAAGCGUGAGUGACGGUAAUGGGUAAAGAAGCACCGGCUAACUACGUG
rnacentral:rRNA from 1 species